UUCUCUUGUUUCAGAGUUUAGCGCCAAACCCAGUUAAGCAGACCUGGGCAGCUGAUCAAGGAUCACCAGAAACUUUGCAGAACAUUGGUCCUUCAGCACCGGACUGGACACCAGUGUUAGUGUCUGUCUCAGAACCUGAAGAAAAGAGGCCACACCUUAUAGGAAAUAAACGCCUCCUAAGUGUACGGAAAUACCUGGCUGAGGAGAUCAGUGACAUAAACCAGAUAAAACUGUCAGUGGUCUGAGACAGCUACAAUGAAGCCACAAAAAAAGUUCAUAGUUCCUGUAUUUCUAUAAUGCAUUAAUGAAUAACAAUAAUUAAAAUAAAAUGUAAUGUCAA